rnacentral:rRNA from 1 species
UGGGGAAUAUUGCACAAUGGGGGAAACCCUGAUGCAGCAACGCCGCGUGAGUGAUGACGGCCUUCGGGUUGUAAAGCUCUGUCUUCAGGGACGAUAAUGACGGUACCUGAGGAGGAAGCCACGGCUAACUACGUGCCAGCAGCCGCGGUAAUACGUAGGUGGCGAGCGUUGUCCGGAUUUACUGGGCGUAAAGGGAGCGUAGGCGGACUUUUAAGUGAGAUGUGAAAUACCCGGGCUCAACUUGGGUGCUGCAUUUCAAACUGGAAGUCUAGAGUGCAGGAGAGGAGAAUGGAAUUCCCGGUGUAGAGGUGAAAUUCGUAGAGAUCGGGAGGAACAUCAGUGGCGAAGGCGCCCUUCUGGACAGCAACUGACGCUGAGACGCGAAAGCGUGGGGAGCAAACA